rnacentral:lncRNA from 1 species
UUCAUCAUCCUCUCCAGCUUCCAGGCUUGGCCCCAGGAGGCAGCUUUGUGGAUUUUCCUGAGAUCCCCAUGGUGAAUCACCUCUGAUCCUCAAUUUUAUAUACUACACCUUGUGGUGGCUCAGUGUUCACUCUGAAAAAUGAAAAAUUGCCCAUUUUUGUGAAAAAGUUCUACUGAUAGUGAAGGCUGAGUUCUAUUGGAACCACCAAGUCAUGACACCAGAAGGGACAAGAAGUAGUUCAUCAUGAGGUGGAAAUAUCUCGCUCUGUCAUCCAGGCUGGAGUGCAGUGGCGGGAUCUCGGCUCACUGCAACCUCCACCUCCCGAGUUCAAGCAAUUCUCCUGCCUCAGCCUCAUGAGUAGCUGGGAUUACAGGCAUCCACCACCACAGACGGCUAAUUUUUUUUUUUGUAUACUUUUAUUUAAUUCGACUUAGGUUACUUAUUAGUAGUAGUUUUGUAUCUAUGUGAUUGUUGUAUAAAAUAAAUGGUUUAAAUAUGUAGGA